ensembl:ncRNA ZC64.14 ncRNA
UUUUCCCCAUUCUUCCAAACAGUUGCACAAUUUGCCAACCGUCAGCCGCGUAUGCAAAUAGAGGCGUCACGUAAGAGUUGAGUCAAGUCAGCCACAGAGACCUCAUUGACUGAGGUUACUGUGCAGCAUGUUCUUCGUUUUUUUUUUCAUUCUCAGAGAAAGAGAAUCCACCUAGCGCCGCAAGUGUCGUUGCGACCCCAAGCCGUUUCUGAGUAUCUCAAAAGUCCCCCCGUUUUGCUCUCACCAA